AUGGGUGCUACUAUCGAGCGUUCGUUUGGUGGUAGCCGUGGGCCUAAGAUUUUUAAGAUUAGUGGUCAGGUGUCCCAUCGUAUUGGUUCAUUGGUGCCUAAAGGUGAUGAUACCCCGAAGUUUGCUGAGUUGUAUAUACAUGACCCAGCUAAUGAGAUCAGGCAUAGGAUGAAUGCCUUGAAUCCAGAAGAUAAGCCUACUGGGGGUGUGGAUGAGAAUAUUGUGGUUGGUCUUAGAGACAUGCUUGAUGUAUCUAAUCCAUUGGUGCAAACCUUUAGGGAGGCGAGUAGGAUGAUAGAGGGUCGUGGGGAUGAGCCCAUCGAGGAUAUCUCGAUUCGUAUUAUUGGGCCUUCAAAGGGCGAUAGUCCCCAAUUUAGCUUGCCUACAACCACUGGACUUGCUGCUCUAAUAGUUGGUGGUGAUUUAACGUUAGAAGCGUCCUGUCGGGACAUUGUUGUUUGCAGCCGUUCCGAUGGUUUACAACAUAUAUCCUCUCUGAAUAUUGCGUUCAUGCUGCUGCAGUACCCGCUGCUCUUCCCUUAUGGAGAGAGGGGGUUUCAGGUCAAUGUUCCUCACGCUGGUGGUGGUGAUGAUUCCACUAAUAGUCGAAAUAGGAUGACCAUGCAGGAUUACUAUCGUUUUAUGUGUCACUAUAGAAGUGAUCAGCCUAAUCCCUAUAUAUGUUAUGGCCUUCUCUCCUCCCAGGCGGUAGUCGAUGCGCGUGCAUGCAUUGAUGAAAAUAGGUUGUGGUACAUCUUAAGAAACCAGGAUAUGCUGAGGUCGGAGCACAUGCAGGGCAUUGCUGAUGCGGUGGGUGAUGGGUGUGUUGAUGGUGAUGCUCUUGGGAAGAGAACCAUUGUACCUUCCAGUCAUACUGGUGGUCGUCACUAUUACAAUGAAAAUUUCCAUGAUGGUCUCGCAGUUUGUCGAGUGCACGGUGCGCCAGAUGUGUUUACCACUUUCACUUGCAAUCCCAAAUGGCCUGAGAUCACCAAUGCAUUGGAACCCGGUCAGACGCCUUCUGACAGGGCAAAUAUUGUUGUUAGGGUCUAUCACAUGAAGCUCAUCGAGUACUUAGACGAGAUCAAAUCCGGACGGGCUUUUGGUGCGGUUACUGUUGGUACUGUGUGCUGA
rnacentral:rRNA from 1 species